rnacentral:rRNA from 1 species
GUGUCAGCAGCCGCGGUAAUACGUAGGUGGCAAGCGUUGUCCGGAUUUACUGGGCGUAAAGGGCGUGCAGGCGGUUUGUUAAGUGCAGGGUGAAAGCUCCCGGCUCAACUGGGAGAGGUCCUUGCAUACUGGCAAACUCGAGGGAGGCAGAGGAAAGUGGAAUUCCCGGUGUAGUGGUGAUAUGCGUAGAUAUCGGGAGGAACACCUGUGGCGAAGGCGGCUUUCUGGGCCUUACCUGACGCUGAGACGCGAAAGCGUGGGGAGCGAACCGGAUUAGAAACCCCCGUAGUCC